AACGAACGCUGGCGGCAGGCCUAACACAUGCAAGUCGAACGCACCGCAAGGUGAGUGGCGCACGGGUGAGUAACACGUGGGAAUGUAUCCUUUGGUUCGGAAUAACGUUUGGAAACGAACGCUAAUACCGGAUGAGCCCUGUGGGGGAAAGAUUUAUCGCCAAAGGAGCAGCCCGCGUCUGAUUAGGUAGUUGGUGGGGUAAUGGCCUACCAAGCCGACGAUCAGUAGCUGGUCUGAGAGGAUGUUCAGCCACACUGGGACUGAGACACGGCCCAGACUCCUACGGGAGGCAGCAGUGGGGAAUAUUGGACAAUGGGCGCAAGCCUGAUCCAGCCAUGCCGCGUGAGUGAUGAAGGCCUUCGGGUUGUAAAGCUCUUUCGCACACGACGAUGAUGACGGUAGUGUGAGAAGAAGCCCCGGCUAACUUCGUGCCAGCAGCCGCCGUAACAC
rnacentral:rRNA from 1 species